ACUGGGAGAGAGUUAGAGUAUCCGCAGAUGAGAAGGAUACUGCUUGAUCUGCAAAAAAUUUGAGGGUGCAGAUUAUCUUCAUAAUGUGAAUUCCAGACCUAGAUCUGCAGAGGUUUUUGUUGGAUCAAUGGCUUUUCAACCUGUUUUUUGCCGUUCUUCCCCCUGCCUCCACUGCUUCCUCACCAGGUGCCUCUAGCCUUUGGCUAGCUGAGCAGAACUGAGAGUUUCUUCUUCCUCACAGUCAUGCCACAGCCCUGAUAUCAGCAAGUCUCCUCUUCUCUAAUGAUGGAAGGGGUGGAGCUAAGGAAAGAGAGUGCUGAGUAGUCAGUAAGGGAAGAACAAAGGCUAGGAGAAGUUGCCACAGCCAGCAAAAACAACUGCAGCUGUUUAGCAAGGUGCUUAUCCAGCCCAACCUGCAUAAAAGGAGAGAGAUUGACUGCAUCUGGGUAAUCAGAUUUUCCAUUUUUUCCUCAAGUUAUGGCUGCUUCUAUUGCAUAACCGCCGUGAUCUGCUGGGAACAGCACCCCGCUUGCACUUCAGCAGAGCGCUGCAGAGAUUUUCUGAGCAAGCACAGACAGACCUGUGAAACCUCAUUCAAGGCUUUGGUGGACUCCUUAGUAGCCAGAGCAGAAUGCAAAGCUUCCUGUCAGGACAAACUUUGUGACUCCCUGUGUAAGCACUGUGCCAUCCUCGAGGAAGUGCAGUGACACCAUGAGGAAUUUGAAAGAUGCAGUCGACAAGUCCAGUCCUGAGUUCCAUAGUUCAAACGACAUUUUCAAGGAAGCCUUAGAGAAAUACCUA